CACGUAGGGCGCAAGCGUUGUCCGGAAUUAUUGGGCGUAAAGAGCUCGUAGGCGGCUUGUCGCGUCGGUUGUGAAAGCCCGGGGCUUAACCCCGGGUCUGCAGUCGAUACGGGCAGGCUAGAGUUCGGUAGGGGAGAUUGGAAUUCCUGGUGUAGCGGUGAAAUGCGCAGAUAUCAGGAGGAACACCGGUGGCGAAGGCGGAUCUCUGGGCCGAUACUGACGCUGAGGAGCGAAAGCGUGGGGAGCGAACAGG
rnacentral:rRNA from 1 species